rnacentral:rRNA from 1 species
UAGGGAAUCUUCGGCAAUGGACGAAAGUCUGACCGAGCAACGCCGCGUGAGUGAAGAAGGUUUUCGGAUCGUAAAACUCUGUUGCUAGAGAAGAACAAGGACGUUAGUAACUGAACGUCCCCUGACGGUAUCUAACCAGAAAGCCACGGCUAACUACGUUCCAGCAGCCGCGGUAAUACGUAGGUGGCAAGCGUUGUCCGGAUUUAUUGGGCGUAAAGCGAGCGCAGGCGGUUUGUUAAGUCUGAUGUGAAAGCCCCCGGCUCAACCGGGGAGGGUCAUUGGAAACUGGGAGACUUGAGUGCAGAAGAGGAGAGUGGAAUUCCAUGUGUAGCGGUGAAAUGCGUAGAUAUAUGGAGGAACACCAGUGGCGAAGGCGGCUCUCUGGUCUGUAACUGACGCUGAGGCUCGAAAGCGUGGGGAGCAAACAGG